rnacentral:rRNA from 1 species
AUUGAACGCUGGCGGCAGGCCUAACACAUGCAAGUCGAGCGAGCGGCGGACGGGUGAGUAAUGUCUGGGAAACUGCCUGAUGGAGGGGGAUAACUACUGGAAACGGUAGCUAAUACCGCAUACCAUCAGAUGUGCCCAGAUGGGAUUAGCUAGUAGGGGGGGUAACGGCUCACCCAGGCGACGAUCCCUAGCUGGUCUGAGAGGAUGACCAGCAACACUGUAGCUGAGACACGGUCCGGACGCCUACGGGAGGAAGCAGUGGGGAAUAUUGCACAAUGGGCGCAAGCAUGACGCAGCCACGCCGCGUGUGUGAAGAAGGCCUUCGGGUUGUAAAGCACUUUCAGCGGGGAGGCGUUACCCGCAGAAGAAGCACCGGCUAACUCCGUGCCAGCCGCCGCGGUAAUAC